UACGUAGGGGGCAAGCGUUGUCCGGAAUCAUUGGGCGUAAAGCGCGUGUAGGCGGCCAGAAAAGUCCGCUGUGAAGACUCGAGGCUCAACUUCGAGCUGUCGGUGGAAACUUUCUGGCUAGAGUCCGGAAGAGGAGAGUGGAAUUCCUGGUGUAGCGGUGAAAUGCGCAGAUAUCAGGAAGAACACCCGUGGCGAAGGCGGCUCUCUGGGACGGUACUGACGCUGAGACGCGAAAGCGUGGGGAGCGAACAGG
rnacentral:rRNA from 1 species